CCUACGGGAGGCAGCAGUAGGGAAUUUUCCGCAAUGGGGGGAACCCUGACGGAGCAACGCCGCGUGAACGAAGAAGUUAUUCGUAAUGUAAAGUUCUUUUAACAGGGAAGAACGAGAAAUUUGACGGUAACUGAAGAAUAAGCUCCGCCUAACUACGUGCCAGCAGCCGCGGUAAUACGUAGGGAGCGGGGGUUAUCCGGAAUUAUUGGGCGUAAGGGGUGCGUAGAUGGCAUAGUAAGUCUUUUGUAAAAAUGCUGGGCUCAAGCCAGUAGGGCAAAAGAUACUGCAAAACUAGAGUAUGACAGAGGAAAGUGGAACUACAGGUGUAGGAGUAAAAUGCGUAAAUAUAUGUAGGAACAUCAGUGGCGAAGGCGACUUGCUGGGUCGAUACUGACAUUGAGGCACGAAAGCGUGGGGAGCAAACGGGAUUAGAUACCCCUGUAGUC
rnacentral:rRNA from 1 species